GAUGAACGCUGGCGGCGUGGAUAAGGCAUGCAAGUCGAAUGGGUUUAGACCCAUGGCAGACGAGGUAGUAACGCGUAGGAACCUGCCCUGAAGUCGAGCAUAACCCACCGAAAGGUGGAAUAACACUCGAUAGUCUCGCGAGAGUAAAAAUUUAUUGCUUCAGGAGGGGCCUGCGUAGUAUCAGCUUGUUGGUAGUGUAAUAGACUACCAAGGCUAUGACGCUUAGGGGGGGUGAGAGCCCGAUCCCCACCGAUGGAACUGAGACACGGUCCAUACACCUACGGGUGGCCGCAGUCGAGAAUCUUCCACAAUGGACGAAAGUCUGAUGGAGCGACGCCGCGUGUGGGAUGAAGUCUUUCGGGAUGUAAACCACUUUUCUAUGGGAGGAAGUUUAUUGACGUUACCAUAGGAAUAAGGGGCUGCUAAACUCG
rnacentral:rRNA from 1 species